rnacentral:tRNA from 1 species
UAGGGUGUGGCUCAGUGGUAGAGCACUUGCCUAGAAGGUGUUAAGCCCUGGGUUCCAUCCCCAGCAUCACAA